rnacentral:rRNA from 1 species
UGCCAGCAGCCGCGGUAAUACGGGGGGUGCAAGCGUUAAUCGGAAUUAUUGGGCGUAAAGGGCGCGCAGGCGGUCUUGUCAGUCAGAUGUGAAAGCCCUCGGCUCAACCGAGGAACUGCAUUUGAAACUACAAGGCUUGAGUAUGGUAGAGGGAAGCGGAAUUCCUGGUGUAGCGGUGAAAUGCGUUGAUAUCAGGAGGAACACCUGUGGCGAAGGCGGCUUCCUGGGCCAUUACUGACGCUGAGGCACGAAAGCGUUGGGUAGCAAACGGGAUUAGAUA